AAAUUAAAUAUCAUUUACCCAAUUUUGAAUACUCUUCUAACCUUUCUUCUUCUUUGUUGUGACUUCAUCAGGUGAUUUAUGCGAGAGACAAACCUCAAAUGUUGAUGUUGUUUUGGAACAUCACCACGUUCGAUCAACUGAAAAGGGAGUUGGUUCGUUGGUUAGAUGGGAAAAUACCAGAAGGGGGAAAAAUCAGAAGUAUUGAGAGACUUGACAGUUUCUUUGGUUGGAUGCGAAUGAAGACUGAUAAGGAUGCUAGGGAAAUGAUGUUCGGUCGAGACGACAUCAAUUUGAUUGUUGUAAUCAGUUAGAAAUAUUUAUGUUUUCAGAUGUUUGUUGUGAACCUCGUUGUAACAAGAACUUAAUGAUAUAUAAUGAUUGAAUGUUACAGAAAUACAAUGUUACAAAAAGCUUAAGACCUAGAUGAUGCUCCUCGAUUGGGACAGUUGUUCUUGUUGUGUCCUGAUGGACGACAAAUACUACAUAAUCUUAUCAUUUUAUCUGUGGAAUCCAUCUCUGUUCUGAUA